GGACCGCGCCCUUCGGGGUGUGGAGCCGAACGGCGAACGGGUGAGUAACACGUGAGUAACCUGCCCCCGGCUUCGGGAUAGCCCCGGGAAACCGGGAUUAAUACCGGAUAUGACCAGGGAGGGCAUCCUUUCUGGUGGAAAGGUUCCCUUCUCGUGAGGGAGGGGUUCUGGCUGGGGAUGGGCUCGCGGCCUAUCAGCUUGUUGGUGGGGUAAUGGCCUACCAAGGCGACGACGGGUAGCCGGCCUGAGAGGGCGACCGGCCACACUGGGACUGAGACACGGCCCAGACUCCUACGGGAGGCAGCAGUGGGGAAUAUUGCACAAUGGGCGAAAGCCUGAUGCAGCGACGCCGCGUGAGGGAUGACGGCCUUCGGGUUGUAAACCUCUUUCGACCUUGACGAAGCUGCCGGUUUUUGCCGGUGGUGACGGUAGGGGUGGAAGAAGCGCCGGCCAACUACGUGCCAGCAGCCGCGGUAAGACGUAGGGCGCGAGCGUUGUCC
rnacentral:rRNA from 1 species